AGCUAGAAAAUUAUGCGAAAACUGAAGAAGCUAAAGUUGAGGAGCUUAUAAAGGCAGUUGCUGAUUCUGGUGCCAAAGUAAUUGUUAGUGGAGCAGCAGUUGGGGAGAUGGCACUUCAUUUCUGUGAGCGCUACAAGCUUAUGGUUUUGAAAAUUAGUUCAAAAUUUGAAUUAAGACGAUUUUGCCGCACUACUGGUGCUGUUGCUAUGAUGUGACAAGCGAAGUAGAAAAGGAUACUUAAGACUCCUUGAAAGUAGUAACUUUGUUUAUUUCUUUGUGUUGAAAGUAGUAACUUUUAGACUCCUUGAAUACUUAAAGAACAUUUUGUUGUUGAUGACAGUGUUGAAUGUUUUAAACUAAUUUGUGGAUUGUUAAUACAAUGUUGAAUGUUCUUA